CAGUGCUGAAGUGCUUAGUGGAGCUUCUAUAACAAGAGACAAGCCACAUCCAAAGAGUAUGGCUUCCAUGCAAAAAAAUGACAGCUUUAGUGAUUGGUUUGGUAGCUUCCUAGAGACAUUGUGUGGCAUGGAUGUAGGUCACAAAGGUGGAUGAGCAGGUGACCUUUGAUAGGAGGAUAAGGGAGGCUGGUCAUCUCCUUGGGGAUUCUAGUGGUUUUAUGACUUCAUCCAUGCAGGCUAAAGUGUCAGUUACUGUCGGUUAUCAGUUAUCAGAGUGAAGAUGCCUUCUCAGAGAGCAUGGUACGUAUCUCAGUUGGAACUGCAGUCAUCAUCCGAGGGAUAAUUUACACUUCAGCCCUAACUUACACCUUUGAUCUGUAUAAGCUCCUUCCUUGCAGAACCAGGGGACCAAAUGAGCAAUUGGGAGAUCAAAGGAAUGCACAAGGAAGAGAUAAAGCUAAUUGGGAGGCUUCUAUUCCUUUGCAGGGCAACAAGGAAUACACAAACCUAAAUUAGGAGGCCAGAAUUGGGUACUAAGCUAAUGUCUCUGAGGGUAUAAAAAGGACACCAUGCCUUCCCCAAGGUGUGGCUAUCUCCUCACAUGCAUUGUAUCUGUAUGUUCUGAUUAUAGUCCCACCCAGUAUUUUGUUUUUGGCCAUAAAUAAAAUCUGCUUUCUGCAA